CUACGGGUGGCUGCAGUGAGGAAUAUUGCACAAUGGGGGGAACCCUGAUGCAGCAACGCCGCGUGGAGGAUGACGCAUUUCGGUGUGUAAACUCCUUUUAUAUGUCAAGAAAAUGACGGUAGCAUAUGAAUAAGCACCGGCUAACUCCGUGCCAGCAGCCGCGGUAAUACGGAGGGUGCAAGCGUUACUCGGAAUCACUGGGCGUAAAGGACGCGUAGGCGGGUUGGAAAGUCAGGUGUGAAAUCCUACAGCUUAACUGUAGAACUGCACUUGAAACUUCUAAUCUAGAGUAUGGGAGGGGGAGAUGGAAUUAGUGGUGUAGGGGUAACAUCCGUAGAUAUCACUAGGAAUACCUAAAGCGAAGGCGAUCUCCUGGAACAUUACUGACGCUAAGGCGUGAAAGCGUGGGGAGCAAACAGGAUUAGAUACCCCGGUAGUC
rnacentral:rRNA from 1 species